UACGUAGGGUCCGAGCGUUGUCCGGAAUUACUGGGCGUAAAGAGCUCGUAGGUGGUUUGUCGCGUUGUUCGUGAAAACUCACAGCUCAACUGUGGGCUUGCAGCUGAUACGGGCGGGCUGGAGUUCGGGUAGGGGAGACUGGAAUUCCUGGUGUAGCGGUGAAAUGCGCAGAUAUCAGGAAGAACACCAGUGGCGAAGGCGGCUCACUGGACCGGUACUGACGCUGAGGCGCGAAAGCGUGGGGAGCAAACAGG
rnacentral:rRNA from 1 species